UACGUAGGGGGCAAGCGUUGUCCGGAUUUAUUGGGCGUAAAAGGCUUGUAGGUGGCCACGCCAAGUCGGAUGUGAAAUCUCCCGGCUCAACUGGGAGGGGUCAUUCGAUACUGGUGGGCUCGAGGCCGGUAGGGGGAAGCGGAAUUCCCGGUGUAGUGGUGGAAUGCGUAGAUAUCGAGAGGAACACCGGUGGCGAAGGCGGCGAUCUGGACGAUGACUGACGCUGAGACGCGAAAGCGUGGGGAGCAAACAGG
rnacentral:rRNA from 1 species